GUAUAUUCUGCAGCCGUUGGAUAAAAGUUAGACUUCUAUUUGGUCUAUAGUGAAGAUUAAGUCCAAUGUUUGUUGGUUUUUGUCUGGAUGAUCUGUCCAGUGCUGGCCUGUAAGGUUUCCACUCAGAAGUCUGCUGCCAGACAUACUGGAGCACUUUCAAAUAUUUGUUUCUUCUCUCUUGCUGCUUUUAGAACUUUUUCUUACCUUUGACCUCUGGGAGUCUGCUUAUUUAAAUGCCUUGAGGUCAUCUUUGUUGAGUCAAAUCUGCUUGUGUUCUAUAAUCUUGGAUAUUGAACUUUCUCUAGGUUCUAGACAUUUUCUGUUAUUAUCUCUUUGAAUGAACCUUCUACUUUUAUCUCUCUCUGCCUCCUUUUUAAGGCCAAUUUCAUUCUUUUUUGUUCUUUUUUCUUUUGUCUCUUCUGACUGUGUAUUUCAAAUAGCCUGUCUUCAAGAUCACCAAUUCUUUCUUCAUCUUGAUAAAUUCUUCUGUUGAGAGAAUCCGAUGCUUUCUCCAGUAUGUCAACUGAAUUUUUUAUCUCCAGAAUUUCAUAUCCUGCCAAACUAAGCUUCACACUUGAAGUAAAAAUAAAAUCUUUUAUGAAUAAGCAAGUACUCAGAGAUGUUAUUACCACCAGGUCUGCUUUACCAGAGCUUCUGAAAGAAGCAUUACACAUAGAAAGGAACAACCAGUAUUAGCUUUUCUAAAAAUAUACCAAAAAGUAAAGAGCAUCAACAUAAAGAAGAAUUUACAUCAACAAAUGGAUAAAAUAGCCAGUUAACAUCAAAUGGCAGUAACCCUAAAUUUAAGUCGACUAAAUCCCCCAAUCAAAAGAUACAGCCAAAACCUAAUGGUAUGCUACCUCCAGACCCAUUUCACAUCCAAAGAUACAUAAAGACUCAAAACAAAGGAAUGGAGAAAGGUUUACCAACCAAAUGGAGAGCAAAAAUAAAUAAAUAAAUAAAUAAAAAGCAGGAGUUGCCAUUCUCGCAUCUGAUAAAAUAGAUUUCAAAGCCACAAAGAUAUAGUGGUAAAAGGAUCAAUGCAACAAUAAAAGCUAAUGAUCCUAACACCCAGAUACAUAAGACCCAUAAAGAGAUUUAGACUCAACAAGACAGAAAAUUAAUAAGGAUAUCCAGGACUUGAACUCAGAUCCAGAGCAAGUAAACUUAAUAAAUAUUUAUAGAGCUCUCCACUUUAAAUAUACAAAAUAUACAUUCUCCACUUUAAAUACACAAAAUAUUGAUCAGCCAUUAUUAAUACUCAUUUUUAGAAUAAAGCAAUAUUCCCAUUCUCUCUCCCUCUUUUUCUUCCUCUUUCUUCCUCUCCUUCACUUCUUUUUUUCUUUCUUUCCUUAAAAAAAAAAAAAAGAAACUGCUCACCCCACCACUCUGGCUUGUACCCCUGCUCUCUUUAAAAUAGCCAAUUGGAAUUAGCUUAAACUGUGCUGUUCAAGCCUAGCCUACAGAAGAAUGAUACAGUAGUAGGAGCUACCUGUGUCGGGGAUAAGAACCCCUUCCCCUCCCUUGUUCAGGUGUGUUCUCACCAUUGCUCCAUCCAUGAGACUCACUCUUCUAUAGAAGGAAAUUGCCUUGCUGAGAAAACUUAUAUUCGAGUGCUAUUUCUUUUGCAGCAUUGAAAGUUUAUUUCUAACACCUUGAACAGUCUAUUCUUGUGAUAAAUUAACACAUAAUAUCUGAGGAACAUAAUUGUCUUGACCACUUGCUUCUGUUAUGAAAAAUUUGUUUUACUUUAUAUCUUGACUCUAAUUAAUUUUUAAAACUUUCUGGCUCAUGAAAGAGGCUUUGGUCUUGUUGAGAUUCUAUUGGGAAAAAAUAUGAUGAUUCAGCAAGGUCUUACAGGGACACAGGAAAGGUAAGUAGCAGUAUCUACCAGGUACACACCAUGCUAAUUCUUAGGUUACUUACUCUUCCCUUGAAGACUUUAUCAGCAAGUGAGACAGUAUUGAGGCCUUGCAUGACAAUAACUGCUGCUUUCUCCUCUUAGGCUCAGCCUACAAGCGAGUGUAUUACUUUACCAACUUGUUGCAGUAUUGACCAGAACCAGCCAAGUUAUUUCUUAAGAAUGUGGGACCGGGCGUGGUGGCUCACACCUGCAAUCCCAGCACUUUGGGAGGCCGAGGCAGGUGGAUCACGAGGUCAAGAGAUUGAGACCAUCCUGGUCAACAUGGUGAAACCCCGUCUCUACUAAAAAUACAAAAAAUUAGCUGGGCAUGGUGGUGCGUCCCUGUAAUCCCAGCUACUCAGGAGGCUGAGGCAGAAGAAUUGCCUGAACCCAGGAGGCGGAGGUUGCAGUGAGCUGAGAUUGUGCCAUUGCCCUCCAGCCUGGGUAAUGAGCAAAACUCUGUCUCAAAAAAAGAAUGUGAACCCACAUCUGCAUACACAACUGAUAUGUGCCUUCACCACCGUGAAUGACAAGAUUGCUUUUUAUGAAUGGAAUGAUAGUGAUGUCCUAUAUCCUCAGUUUCAAGUCCUGAAAGAAAGUCUAUAGAAAUUGGGUCCACAGUAAGUGGGAGACAGGGAGGGAUAAUGGAAAGUCCAAGCUCAGUCUCCAGUUCAUUCUUACUAGCAUAAGAUUCUGAGAGGCAAAAUCCUUUGCAGACAGUUUGUUCCUGAAAAGAAUAUGCACAUUUCUGACAAUUAUGGUAAAAUAUAAUAUAAACACUAGCUGGGGCAGUUAGGGAGAAAUGCUUGCCAUGGGGACUUUGGAGGUUGUGUUGGCAGCUGACCGUUCCCCAGAGAGUCGAGAAUGAGGGCAAGAAAAGUUGCUUUCUGUGAUGUUUGCAUCCUGCAGGCUCACAGAGGUCUCACAGAGAUUUCACAGAGGCACAUUUUGUUUCUUUCUGCAGCAAUGGUAACCUGGCCAACGUGUUGACCCCUAGUAUAGCUGUAACUUUGGCACCCAGAAGUAAGAGCCUUCUCAUGGCCAGGGGAUGAGGGUGGAGGCAAGAAAGUCCCCAAGGUUGACGUGGGAAACAGUAAUAUCAGAGAAGGAGGUGAAGACAGUUAUUCCAGAGGAGAAAGAGGUUGGCAUCUGCAAAGGUAAUAUCUGGGUGGGAAGGGCUGGUAUAGCAGCUAUGGAAAGAUAGCAGUGGAGCGGUGAGAACAAGUACUUAAAAGAAUAUAGAGAAUGAGGCGUGGUAGGGAGGAGGGUUGGUGGUAAAGAAGAGUUACUGUCUGCUGAUGAGAAUGGAAGAGCCCUGGGCUGAAUCGCAGGCUUUGAUGCUGGGAAGUAGUAAGAAAAUAUAAUUAGCAUCAAAGGCAUGUGGACUCUGGGUUGGAAAAGGAGAUGCUGAAAUAGAUUUGACUUGUGUUUAGAAAAGGCAUUUAAGUUACUUUUUAGAUUAUAAAAGUAAUGUAUUGCCAUAAUUAUUUAAAAAAUAGAUAGCACAAGAUUGUUUGACAUAAAAAGUAAUUUGCUCCUCUUCCUUCUUCCCCUCCCUAAUUCUCUAGAGGUAGCAACGUGAUGGUUAGAGCAAGCUGCAGUUAAGUUUUAAAAUUCUCACUGCAGUAGUCAGCAGACUUUCUGAUAGUUACCUAUAAGGUAACAAGCUAAUUCUUACCUGUGAUAUGUGACCAAUAUUUCUUCUGCCCGAGAUGUCCUUUCCACCAAUACAGCUUUUUCCACCUCCACAGCUCACGUAAAUAAGAGUCUUUACACCCCAAACUCCAAACCGCAUUUUCUCUUUCCCAUUUUAAGUUAGCCAGUUUGGUGCUAGUCAAUUUACUUCCACCAAACAAACAAACAAACAAACAAACAAGCCUUUCUAGCUAUUGAAUACCUGAACUUAAAAUAAAAAAACCCUGGUAAAUUAGGGAAGUUGUGAUACAGUUUACAAAACAUUAAUUACAGGCUUAUCAUAAUCAGGAACAAACCUAGAGUAUUUAAACAGCAUUUAUAGGCUAUACGAUUGUUGACUAUGGCAGAGGAUAUGACAGAAUUUUAAUAUCUAUAAGUUCUAGAUAUUAAGGCACUUUGAAAUGUUGGAUUCAACAUAAAUUUAAUAGCACAUCUUUGGGAACAGAAGUGCUGUAUUAAAUAUAUGUACAGAUUGUAAGUCACAUGUUAAUUUUGGGCCAGGUCACCGAUAGGCCGGAAGUUUUGAAAAUACUGUUUCUAUUAUGGUGAUCUAUGAUUAGUGAUCUUUAAUGUUGUCAUUCUAAUUGUUUUGGGGCACCAGUAAUAGGACUCAUGUAAGACGAUGAAUUUAAUCAAUAAAUGUAUGUGUUCUGACUGCUUCACUGAAUGGCCAUUUCCCUAUCUCUCUUCUUCUCCUGGAGCCUCCCUAUUCCCUAAGACACAACUAAAUUGAAAUUAGGCCAAUUAAUAACCCUACAAUGUCCUAAGUGUUCAAGUGAAAGGAAAAGUUCCAUAUCUCUCACUUUAAAUCAAAAGCUAAGCUUAGUGAAGAAGGCAUGAAGUAGAUGAAAUUUGCUCUGCAAUGAGAGCAAAUACCUGCUCAGAAGCAAGUUGAAGUCAUACCUUGGUCCUCAGGUGCAUCACAGGUUCAGUCCAGCACACUGUUCUGAACAAGAUGCAGGUUAGGCUGCAAAGAACAGCAAAGGCAGAGAGGCCAGAGUGCAUGGAGACAGCCAUGGAACUU
ensembl:lncRNA